GACGAACGCUGGCGGCGUGCUUAACACAUGCAAGUCGAACGGAAAGGCCCUGCUUUUGUGGGGUGCUCGAGUGGCGAACGGGUGAGUAACACGUGAGUAACCUGCCCUUGACUUUGGGAUAACUUCAGGAAACUGGGGCUAAUACCGGAUAGGAGCUCCUGCUGCAUGGUGGGGGUUGGAAAGUUUCGGCGGGUGGGGAUGGACUCGCGGCUUAUCAGCUUGUUGGUGGGGUAGUGGCUUACCAAGGCUUUGACGGGUAGCCGGCCUGAGAGGGUGACCGGCCACAUUGGGACUGAGAUACGGACCAGACUCCUACGGGAGGCAGCAGUGGGGAAUAUUGCACAAUGGGAGGAAGCCUGAUGCAGCAACGCCGCGUGCGGGAUGACGGCCUUCGGGUUGUAAACCGCUUUCGCCUGUGACGAAGCGUGAGUGACGGUAAUGGGUAAAGAAGCACCGGCUAACUACGUG
rnacentral:rRNA from 1 species